UGCAUUCACUACUGUAAGUCACUCUGGAUAAGAGUGUCUGCUGAAUGACUAAAA
rfam:Salmo salar isolate Sally breed double haploid chromosome ssa28, whole genome shotgun sequence.